GCAUAACGCGAAGAACCUUACCUACACUUGACAUGCCUCUUGGGACUUUCAGAGAUGAUUGUUUUCGGUUCGGCCGGGGAGUGCACAGGUGCUGCAUGGCUGUCGUCAGCUCGUGUCGUGAGAUGUUGGGUUAAGUCCCGCAACGAGCGCAACCCUUAUCGUAUGUUGCCAGCAUUUAGUUGGGCACUCAUGCGAGACUGCCGGUGAUAAGCCGGAGGAAGGCGGGGACGACGUCAAGUCAUCAUGGCCCUUACGUGUAGGGCUACAAACGUGCUACAAUGGCGUUAACAAUGGGCAGCGAGGCAGCGAUGCCAAGCUAAUCCUUAAAUAACGUCUCAGUUCGGAUUGUACUCUGCAACUCGAGUACAUGAAGUUGGAAUCGCUAGUAAUCGCAAAUCAGCAUGUUGCGGUGAAUACGUUCCCGGGUCUUGUACACACCG
rnacentral:rRNA from 1 species